AAUUGGUUGUAGAUUUUUCACUUGGGAAGGAUUCUGAUUGGCAUAUAUCUUGAGAUUUUGGAUGCUGAUGCUGAAAUUAUUUUUCUGUUGGAGGACUUGGUGCAGAUUCAAGAACAAAGCCAUUGAAGUUCAGGAUAGGAUUAUGUUGGAGGACUUGGUGUGAUAGCUGACGUGACCAGAUUCUAGGAUCUUCAGCUAUGUGGUGAGACAGUGGGUACAAUGACAAAUUCAACGCAAGACCAUGCUGGUGGGAGACCACUGACGGGACACUAAGUGCAAGCUUAAGAGGAAAGAUAUGAUUCACAUUACUCCAUUCUGCAAGGAAACAAAAAACUUAACUGGACC